GAUCCCAGAGACCCCAAAGUGUCCCAGAGACCCCAAAGUGUCCCAGAGACCCCAAAAGAUCCCAGAGACCCCAAAGUGUCCCAGAGACCCCAAAGUGUCCCAGAGACCCCAAAGUGUCCCAGAGACCCCAAAGGAUCCCAGAGACCCCAAAGGGCUCCAGGACCCCAAAGGAUCCCAAAGAUCCCACAGACCCCAAAGGAUCCCAGAGACCCCAAAAGAUCCCACAGACCCCAAAGUGUCCCAGAGACCCCAAAGGUCCCAGAGACCCCAAAAGGCUCCACAGACCCCAAAGAUCCCACAGACCCCAAAGUGUCCCACAGACCCCAAAGUCCCCCAGACCCCAAAAGGCUCCACAGACCCCCAAAAGGCUCCAGAGACCCUCAGUUUCUAUCGACCCCAAAAGGAUUUUAUGGCCCCUGAAGGGUUUUAGGGACCCCAAAAGUUCCCACAGCCCCCAAGGUUUUAUUGACCCCAAAAGAUUCCACGGACCCCGACGGGUUCUGCAGACCCCAAAAGGAUUUUAUGAACCCCAAAAAGGAUUUUAUGGACCCCAAAAGGAUUUUAUAAACCCCAAAUGAUUUUAUGGACCCCAAAAAGGAUUUUAUGAACCCCAAAAAGGAUUUUAUAAACCCCAAAUGAUUUUAUAAACCCCAAAAAGGAUUUUAUGGACCCCAAAUGAUUUUAUGGACCCCAAAAAGGAUUUUAUAAACCCCAAAAAGGAUUUUUUGAACCCCAAAAAGGAUUUUAUGAACCCCAAAAAGGAUUUUAUAAAACCCAAAAAGGAUUUUAUGGACCCCAAAAAGGAUUUUAUGAACCCCAAAAAGGAUUUUAUGAACCCCAAAAAGGAUUUUAUGGACCCCAAAUGAUUUUAUGGACCCCAAAAAGGAUUUUAUGAACCCCAAAAAGGAUUUUAUGGACCCCAAAUGAUUUUAUGGCCCCUGAAGGAUUUUAAGCCCCCACCCCAAAGGAUUUUAAGGACCCCAAAGGCAUCCACAGACCCCAAAAAGGAUUUUAUGAACCCCAAAAAGGAUUUUAUGAACCCCAAAAAGGAUUUUAUGGACCCCAAAAAGGAUUUUAUAAAACCCAAAAAGGAUUUUAUAAACCCCAAAUGAUUUUAUGGACCCCAAAAAGGAUUUUAUGGACCCCAAAAAGGAUUUUAUGAACCCCAAAAAGGAUUUUAUGGACCCCAAAUGAUUUUAUGGCCCCCCCCAAAGGCAUCCACAGACCCCAAAAAGGAUUUUAUGGAUCCCAAAAGUUUCUGGAGACCCCAAAGAUUUCCAGGGAUGGAUUUUGCAGCCCCAAAGGUCAAAGGUCAGCGGGGUUUUAUGGCUUUGGGGUUUAAUUGCUUUAGGGUUUAAUUGCUUUGGGGUUUAAUUGCUUUGGGGUUUAAUUGCUUUGGGGUUUAAUUGCUUUGGGGUUUUAUGGCUUUGGGGUUUAAUUCCUUUAGGGUUUAAUUGCUUUGGGGUUUAAUUGCUUUGGGGUUUAAUUGCUUUGGGGUUUUAUGGCCCCGGGUUUACACCCCGAUGUGUGAAAGUGCCUCCUGCCAUAAAGAUCUGGGAACUUUUAUGGGUUCGGCGC
ensembl:lncRNA